CUCUUACUCGUUAUUUCGCCUCUCAACCAAAAAAUGUUCGCGCUCUAUUUCGUGCUAUUCACCAUGCUGAUCGAAGCUUCCAUUCUGAUCAUGCUGCUGGUGCCCUACCUCAACAAAACCAUGGUGCCACUUAUCGCAGACUUUCUCUACAAAAUUCGACUUUUCCUCAAAAUUAUGUUUAGUAUCCUUUCAUUCAUGCUCUAUGACUCCUACACCGAUAUGCGCAGGUAUCAGAGAAAAUCCUUGGAAACAACUGAUACUGACUUAUUCAGGCGCAUGGACGCGCUGAAACUCAAAUUCCGAGCUGAGAGAAACUUUUACUUGUGCUUCAUCACAUUCACCUUCUUCUUGCUCAUUCUACGCCUAGAGGGCAUAGUCAAAAAAUCGCGCACUCUAGAACUGGAAGUUCAGAACUUAAAAGAAAAACAGGAAAAAAGAAUUCAUGAAGACUGAACCGUGCUGUAGUAAAUGGUUUCUCUUGUCAAAAUAUAACAGUUACGAUGCCUUUUUCUAGCUUUAAAAUCAAUUUCCCUAUGCACUCACCGCAAUGCCAGUAGUUGUCACAAUUUACCGCAACAUAGGAAAGAAACUCGUGUACUUUUGCCAAUCCUUUAUAAAAACUUUUCGCCUCUUUUUGCA